UUUCAGGAUGUUACACUGGGUUUCCGUGUCCAACGUUUAACCGCCCGUAUUAUUUAAAAAAAAUAUGAAAAGAAUUAAAAAGACAAGUCACGCAUAAAGUAUUAAUCAUGUUUUAUCAUCUAAUAACAAUGAAAAUACUAAUUAUAAAAAAAUUUCAUAUAAAACGGAUAGUCAAACGUUGGACACGAAAACCCAGGGUUUGUCUUUUU
rfam:Oryza glumipatula chromosome 9, whole genome shotgun sequence.